GAGCAAGGGCGUCAUUGAUAAUGGCGUGAUUUGCAUUGAAGGUUGGCAAUAUAAAUAGUAAUAGCAAUUCUCCGUGCCUAUCAAAUUGCUUAAUUUCAUUUUGAUUAUGGCCUCGAACAAGUUGCUACAUU